rnacentral:rRNA from 1 species
UAGGGAAUCUUCGGCAAUGGGGGCAACCCUGACCGAGCAACGCCGCGUGAGUGAAGAAGGUUUUCGGAUCGUAAAGCUCUGUUGUAAGAGAAGAACGUGUGUGAGAGUGGAAAGUUCACACAGUGACGGUAACUUACCAGAAAGGGACGGCUAACUACGUGCUAGCAGCCGCGGUAAUACGUAGGUCCCGAGCGUUGUCCGGAUUUAUUGGGCGUAAAGCGAGCGCAGGCGGUUUAAUAAGUCUGAAGUUAAAGGCAGUGGCUUAACCAUUGUUCGCUUUGGAAACUGUUAAACUUGAGUGCAGAAGGGGAGAGUGGAAUUCCAUGUGUAGCGGUGAAAUGCGUAGAUAUAUGGAGGAACACCGGUGGCGAAAGCGGCUCUCUGGUCUGUAACUGACGCUGAGGCUCGAAAGCGUGGGGAGCAAACAGG